AUUGAACGCUGGCGGCAUGCCUUACACAUGCAAGUCGAACGGCAGCACGGGAGCAAUCCUGGUGGCGAGUGGCGAACGGGUGAGUAAUAUAUCGGAACGUGCCCAGUCGUGGGGGAUAACGUAGCGAAAGCUACGCUAAUACCGCAUACGAUCUAUGGAUGAAAGCGGGGGAUCGCAAGACCUCGCGCGAUUGGAGCGGCCGAUAUCAGAUUAGGUAGUUGGUGAGGUAAAGGCUCACCAAGCCGACGAUCUGUAGCUGGUCUGAGAGGACGACCAGCCACACUGGGACUGAGACACGGCCCAGACUCCUACGGGAGGCAGCAGUGGGGAAUUUUGGACAAUGGCGCAAGCCUGAUCCAGCAAUGCCGCGUGCAGGAUGGAAGGCC
rnacentral:rRNA from 1 species